rnacentral:lncRNA from 1 species
UUUUAUUUUAGCUUGCUCAGACUACUCUUGACUCGAUAGUGAGAGGUUGGAGGAAAACUAAUUAAAUUCAAUUAUUAUAUAUAUUAGGAAAAUUAUUUUAGUAAAAACAAUUUACGUACUGGUGCACUUUCAUGUUGGUUAAGUCCGAUACAUAUACUUAUAUAUAUGUACGGAAAGUGUCAGCGAGAAAAAUAUUUUCUUAUUCUUCUCUUCAUGUAUGAAAAUUGAGCAUGGAGCAUUAGAGAUUGAAAAUAACAUGAUCAGGACGAUCGAGCUCAAGUUGUAGUAGCACUCCGAUCUACUUCACCUCUGACAUUAUAAUUAUUGUAUUUUUAGGACUUACCAAGUUAAAUAUAUAUUUAUGUUAUUUUAUCCGUACAUCUAUAAAAAUCAUGAAUAUAUGUAGCC